AACGAAGUGGCUUAUCAUCAUCAUCAUCACGUGGACAUUUAUAGCAGCCAAAUACUCUAGACGCGUGAUGCUGAUUCUAAAUGUGAAGGGAAAACCCGGAGAAGAAUCCACGCGGCCAUGGGGGAGGGAGACACGCAAACUCCGAAUACAGCAGGCGUCAGGGUCGCGAUCGAACCCACGACCCUCCUGUAUACCAGGCGAGAGGUGGGACAAAGUCAUUGUUAUGCAAGUCCAAGUCGAGUCUGAAGUCAUCAAAUUCAUGACUCGAGUCUGACUCGAGUCCAAGUCACAUGACUCGAGUCCACACCUCAGGUGGGGGAGCGGUGGUGUUGCGGUCAGCGCUGUAGGGGCAAGCGCUGUUAGCGAGCACCUAUGAAGGCCGGAACGGUACACGAGGGGGUGGGUGGCCAGCACCACGCCAGACCGCCUUUGUCUCCCCAGUGGCGAUGUUUACACACCGCACCAGGUACUCAUUUGAGGCUAAGUCGACCUAGGGGAGGCGCAGGACCUGUUCAUAUAAUCAUCACUGGUGUUGGCCGUCAGUGGGAAUCGAAUCCGGGUCGCCAGGUUCAUAGCGCAGCGCGCUAACCGCUACACUACCGCUAACACACGAUGCAUACAGCACACGCACACAGACACACACGCACACACGUACACACACACGCACACACACAUACACAUAAGACAUGGAGAGCCACUCAGCAUCCAAUAGUACAAUAACAAGGACGCAAAUCUUGUAAAAUUAGUUUAACAAGAAGGAGGAGGAGUCGGGGUGGGGGGUGUGUGAUUAUUUCGGAACCAGGAACGUAAACCGAUAUAUACCUCGUAGAUAUAUUAUCUGUCGAACGCGGUUUUGCCCAACGCGGCAUUUUACAUGAACGUAACCUCGCGUUGGGCGAGGUCUGCCAGUAUUAUUCCCCUUCCUGGCUCUCGGAAGCGUCGUUCCUCUCCAUUGGGAACACUUUUCCUUUUAAUUGUAUUAAUCAGCGAGCAGACGGGGGGAUUGACCACGGCUUCCGACGAUGAUUGUUACAAUUGUUCUGGGCAUAGCAUCGGGCGAUGGUUGAACAAAAGAUGACUUCUCUUACUGAUGAGACCCAACCGAGUUUGAAAGUUGGCCAAAUGUAUUCUCUCAUGCUUAGGCACCCUGAUCGUGGACAAACUGACUUUGAUCCGUGUCGCCCGGGUCCACAGAGAAUCACUGUCUUUUUCAAGAAGACACCCAGACGAUACUAUGAUGAUGACUGUAAAGCGUUCUGACACUUUAAUUGCGAUUACGCAUGAGACACUGUCUUUGAAAUGCCGUGCGCGUGUUACAACAUGGCUCGCCUCUCAAUGAGCCAAGGAUGUGGAAUAACAAAAUAAAUAAUCACUUA